UUCCAGUUCAUUGCCUUUGUGGGGUUUUUUUGUUUGUUAGUUUGCCUGUGUGUUUUAUACUUUUUUUCUGCCUUCUCUGGUUUUAACUAAGCAUUUUCUAUAAUUCUAUCUCCUUUGUUAGAGUAUCUAUUACGUUUCUUUUUUACUAUUUUUAAUGAUUGCUCUAGAGUUUGCAGUACUGCAGUAUAAAUUUGCAACUAAUUUAAACCAAUUUUUAAAUAACACUAUACUACUUCAUGGGUAAUGAAAGCAUCUUAUAACAUAUUAUCUCUAGUUUUUUCCCUUUCUUAUUUCAUAACUGCCAUUUCACUUCACAUAUUCAUAGCCAAAACCACUGAGUAUAUGGUGCUAUUAUUAUUUUGACAAAAAUCUGUAAUCUGUUAGAUCAAUUAAAACAAAAAAAAAAAAAGAGUCUAUUAUACCUUCACUUAUUCCUUCUCUGAUGUUUUUCAUUUCUUAACAUAGAUCUGAGAUUCUGACCUAUAUCAUUUUUUUCCCCCUCUGAAGAAUUCUAACAUUUCUUGCAAGGCAGGUCUAUUGGAAACAAAUGCCCCUAGUUGUUUUGUGAGAAGGUUUUUGUUUCUUUUUCACUUUUGAAGGAUAAUUUCACAGGAUACAGAAUUCUAUGUUGGUAAUUUCUUCUUUAUUUUUCUUUGGACACUGUAAGUAUUUCACUCUACCCUCUUCUUGCUUGCAUGCUUUCUGAAAAAUUGGAUGGAGUGUUUACCUUUGCUUUUCUUUAGCUAAGCUCUUUAUUUCUUCUGACUUCUUUAAACAUUUUUUUAUCUUUGAUUUCCUAUAGUUUGAAAAUGAUAGGCCUAACUGUAGACUUUUUAUAUUUAUCCUACUUGGUAUUCUGUCAUUCAUUUCAGAAAAUUCUCUGCCCUAUGACUAUGACUUCAAACAUUUUCUCUAUUUCUUUAUCUCUUUCUUCUACUUCUGGUAUUCCAAUUACACAUAUAACUUUUGUGGUUGUCUCACAGUUUUGAAAUAUUUUGUUUUAUCCUUUUUUUCUCUUUGCAUUUCAGUUAUCAAAGUUUCUAUUGCAUUUUCUCAAGCUUAUUGAUUCUUUCUUAGUCAUAUCCAGUCUAUUGAUGAUUCCUUCAAAUUUCUGAUACAGCAUCUUUUAUUUCUAGCAUUUUCUUUUGAUUCUUUCUUGGGGUUUUUAUUUAUCUUCUUUCAGUUUCUGUAUGUUCUUUCAUAUUGUUAGAUUGUUUCUACUUUUUCCAAUAUCGCCCUUUGCAUAUUAAUCAGAGUUGUUUUAAAUUCCCAUUCUGAUAGUUCCAACAUGGCUGCCGUACCUGAAUCUCGUUCUGAUGCUUAGUUUUUCCCUUCAAACACUGUUCUUAAAAAUAUAUAUAUAUACAUACAUAUAUAUAUAUAUGCCUUGUAAUUACUCGUUGAAAGCUGGCCAUAAGCUAGCAAGUAAAAGAAACUUAGGUAUAUAUGCCUUUAGUGUGAGUGUGUAUGUUUAUUCAGUUAGGAGUUACCUUGUAUUUACUGUUUGCUCUAGGUGUGGUGUCAGGGCUAAUUUUCUCUGAUGCUCUUGUUUUUGUCUUUUUUGUUGUAGUUUUCCCUAGUGACUCUUACAUGAUGUUUGACAUUUUCAAUUCCUUCAUCUGUAUUAUCCUAUUAUCUUCUAGGAGCUCCAUUGAGGUAAUGAUAGGGUGUUGGGGGAGAAAAAAUGUUCUGUAAAAUUAUGAUUAGGUCUCUUUCUUUUACCAAGCCUGUGUCCUUGGGCUGUGACCUUCACAAAUGCUUCUCACUUUUACUUUCUUUUAUUUUUCUAUGAAGGUGAGGCCUUUUGGCCUCAUCUAAUUGGAGCUGGGCGUUUCCUUUUUGCCAUGUAGAAGACGAGAGUGGGCAAGAGUUGUAUAUUUCCCUUCAUACAGUUUGCUUAGGUUCUGGUAAAACACCAGUCAUUUAGGCUCUGGUAAAAUAGUUUCCCUUGUGGGCAGGUUUUGUUAAGGAGAACAGAAUAUUCUAAACAUAUUUUUAAAUGGCUAUUUUCCCUUUCCUCUGCUGGAAAUACUAGGGGUUUGUUUUUUUCUUUUUCUGAUUUUCACUGUGAGAACAUGGUAGAGCUCCUAGAAGUAAGCUUCAGAAAAGUGUGGAGGCCUUCCUAUGACUGAGUCUCCUUGGAGUUUUAACUCUUAAGCUUGUCUACCUUUAUCUUCCAGCAAUUCAAUUACAAGUUUAAGUUUUCUUAACCCUGUGCUGGCUCCAGCAAUGGUUUCUGCUCCUCAACCUUUACCCCAGUAAGCUAUGAUUCCCUUUAACUUCCUGUCUCUCUCUCUCCAAUUUGAGGGGCAAUAGAUUGCUCUGUGAGCUCACAUUUCUCUAAAGAAUCCUAGAGGAAUUGCUGAUUUUCAGUUUGUUCAGCUUUUUUGUUGUUGUUGCAAAGAUGGAAGUGAGGCCUUUUAAGGUCAUUACAU
rnacentral:lncRNA from 1 species